rnacentral:tRNA from 1 species
CGGAAAAGGAGAACCCCAUUCCUCCCUAAGACU